rnacentral:rRNA from 1 species
CACCAGCCCCUCGAGUGGUGGGGGUGAUUAUUUGGCCUAAAGCGUCCGUAGCCGGCCGGGUAAGUUUCCCGUUAAAUCCAGCGUCUCAAGCGUUGGACUGCGGGAAAUACUGCCUGGCUAGAGAGUGGGAGAAGUCAGCGGUAUUCUGGGGGUAGGGGCGAAAUCCUUUGAUCCCCGGAGGACCACCAGUGGCGAAGGCUGCUGACUAGAACACGUCUGACGGUCAGGGACGAAAGCUGGGGUAGCGAACCGGAUUAGAUACCCGGGUAGUCCCAGCCGUAAACGAUGCAUGCUAGGUGUUGGGUUGGCCACGAGCCACCCCAGUGCCGCAGGGAAGCCGUUAAGCAUGCCGCCUGGGAAGUACGAUCGCAAGAUUGAAGCUUAAAGGAAUUGGCGGGGGAGCACCACCAGGCGUGAAGCCUGCGGUUU